rnacentral:rRNA from 1 species
UACGAAGGGGGGCUAGCGUUGCUCGGAAUUACUGGGCGUAAAGCGCACGUAGGCGGUCUUUUAAGUCGGGGGUGAAAUCCUGGAGCUCAACUCCAGAACUGCCUUCGAUACUGGAAGACUUGAGUCCGGGAGAGGUGGAGUGGAACUGCGAGUGUAGAGGUGAAAUUCGUAGAUAUUCGCAAGAACACCAGUGGCGAAGGCGGCUCACUGGCCCGGUACUGACGCUGAGGUGCGAAAGCGUGGGGAGCAAACAGGGAUUAGAAACCCGGGUGAGUCCCAGGAACCGAACGUACUCGCUACC